GAUGAACGCUGGCGGCGUGCCUAAUACAUGCAAGUCGAGCGAACAGACGAGGAGCUUGCUCCUCUGACGUUAGCGGCGGACGGGUGAGUAACACGUGGAUAACCUACCUAUAAGACUGGGAUAACUUCGGGAAACCGGAGCUAAUACCGGAUAAUAUAUUGAACCGCAUGGUUCAAUAGUGAAAGACGGUUUUGCUGUCACUUAUAGAUGGAUCCGCGCCGCAUUAGCUAGUUGGUAAGGUAACGGCUUACCAAGCCGACGAUGCGUAGCCGACCUGAGAGGGUGAUCGGCCACACUGGAACUGAGACACGGUCCAGACUCCUACGGGAGGCAGCAGUAGGGAAUCUUCCGCAAUGGGCGAAAGCCUGACGGAGCAACGCCGCGUGAGUGAUGAAGGUCUUCGGAUCGUAAAACUCUGUUAUUAGGGAAGAACAAAUGUGUAAGUAACUAUGCACGUCUUGACGGUACCUAAUCAGAAAGCCACGGCUAACUACGUG
rnacentral:rRNA from 1 species